GGUUAAGCGACUAAGCGUACACGGUGGAUGCCCUGGCAGUCAGAGGCGAUGAAGGGCGUACUAAUCUGCGAUAAGCGCCGGUAAGGUGAUAUGAACCGUUAUAACCGGCGAUACCCGAAUGGGGAAACCCAGUGUGAUUCGUCACACUAUCAUUAACUGAAUCCAUAGGUUAAUGAGGCGAACCGGGGGAACUGAAACAUCUAAGUACCCCGAGGAAAAGAAAUCAACCGAGAUUCCCCCAGUAGCGGCGAGCGAACGGGGAGGAGCCCAGAGCCUGAAUCAGCAUGUGUGUUAGUGGAAGCGUCUGGAAAGGCGCGCGAUACAGGGUGACAGCCCCGUACACAAAAGCGCAUGUGCUGUGAGCUCGAUGAGUAGGGCGGGACACGUGGUAUCCUGUCUGAAUAUGGGGGGACCAUCCUCCAAGGCUAAAUACUCCUGACUGACCGAUAGUGAACCAGUACCGUGAGGGAAAGGCGAAAAGAACCCCGGCGAGGGGAGUGAAAAAGAACCUGAAACCGUGUACGUACAAGCAGUGGGAGCACAGGUUUACCUGUGUGACUGCGUACCUUUUGUAUAAUGGGUCAGCGACUUAUAUUCUGUAGCAAGGUUAACCGAAUAGGGGAGCCGGAGGGAAACCGAGUCUUAAUUGGGCGUUAAGUUGCAGGGUAUAGACCCGAAACCCGGUGAUCUAGCCAUGGGCAGGUUGAAGGUUGGGUAACACUAACUGGAGGACCGAACCGACUAAUGUUGAAAAAUUAGCGGAUGACCUGUGGCUGGGGGUGAAAGGCCAAUCAAACCGGGAGAUAGCUGGUUCUCCCCGAAAGCUAUUUAGGUAGCGCCUCGUGAAUUCAUCUCCGGGGGUAGAGCACUGUUUCGGCUAGGGGGCCAUCCCGGCUUACCAACCCGAUGCAAACUGCGAAUACCGGAGAAUGUUAUCACGGGAGACACACGGCGGGUGCUAACGUCCGUCGUGAAGAGGGAAACAACCCAGACCGCCAGCUAAGGUCCCAAAGUCAUGGUUAAGUGGGAAACGAUGUGGGAAGGCCCAGACAGCCAGGAUGUUGGCUUAGAAGCAGCCAUCAUUUAAAGAAAGCGUAAUAGCUCACUGGUCGAGUCGGCCUGCGCGGAAGAUGUAACGGGGCUAAACCAUGCACCGAAGCUGCGGCAGCGACACUGUGUGUUGUUGGGUAGGGGAGCGUUCUGUAAGCCUGUGAAGGUGUGUCGUGAGGCAUGCUGGAGGUAUCAGAAGUGCGAAUGCUGACAUAAGUAACGAUAAAGCGGGUGAAAAGCCCGCUCGCCGGAAGACCAAGGGUUCCUGUCCAACGUUAAUCGGGGCAGGGUGAGUCGACCCCUAAGGCGAGGCCGAAAGGCGUAGUCGAUGGGAAACGGGUUAAUAUUCCCGUACUUGGUGUUACUGCGAAGGGGGGACGGAGAAGGCUAUGUUGGCCGGGCGACGGUUGUCCCGGUUUAAGCGUGUAGGUGUGUGUUCCAGGUAAAUCCGGUUCACUUUAACACUGAGGCGUGACGACGAGGCACUACGGUGCUGAAGCAACAAAUGCCCUGCUUCCAGGAAAAGCCUCUAAGCAUCAGGUAACAUCAAAUCGUACCCCAAACCGACACAGGUGGUCAGGUAGAGAAUACCAAGGCGCUUGAGAGAACUCGGGUGAAGGAACUAGGCAAAAUGGUGCCGUAACUUCGGGAGAAGGCACGCUGACACGUAGGUGAAGUGAUUUACUCAUGGAGCUGAAGUCAGUCGAAGAUACCAGCUGGCUGCAACUGUUUAUUAAAAACACAGCACUGUGCAAACACGAAAGUGGACGUAUACGGUGUGACGCCUGCCCGGUGCCGGAAGGUUAAUUGAUGGGGUCAGCGCAAGCGAAGCUCCUGAUCGAAGCCCCGGUAAACGGCGGCCGUAACUAUAACGGUCCUAAGGUAGCGAAAUUCCUUGUCGGGUAAGUUCCGACCUGCACGAAUGGCGUAAUGAUGGCCAGGCUGUCUCCACCCGAGACUCAGUGAAAUUGAACUCGCUGUGAAGAUGCAGUGUACCCGCGGCAAGACGGAAAGACCCCGUGAACCUUUACUAUAGCUUGACACUGAACAUUGAGCCUUGAUGUGUAGGAUAGGUGGGAGGCUUUGAAGUGUGGACGCCAGUCUGCAUGGAGCCGACCUUGAAAUACCACCCUUUAAUGUUUGAUGUUCUAACGUGGACCCGUUACCCGGGUUGCGGACAGUGUCUGGUGGGUAGUUUGACUGGGGCGGUCUCCUCCUAAAGAGUAACGGAGGAGCACGAAGGUUGGCUAAUCCUGGUCGGACAUCAGGAGGUUAGUGCAAUGGCAUAAGCCAGCUUGACUGCGAGCGUGACGGCGCGAGCAGGUGCGAAAGCAGGUCAUAGUGAUCCGGUGGUUCUGAAUGGAAGGGCCAUCGCUCAACGGAUAAAAGGUACUCCGGGGAUAACAGGCUGAUACCGCCCAAGAGUUCAUAUCGACGGCGGUGUUUGGCACCUCGAUGUCGGCUCAUCACAUCCUGGGGCUGAAGUAGGUCCCAAGGGUAUGGCUGUUCGCCAUUUAAAGUGGUACGCGAGCUGGGUUUAGAACGUCGUGAGACAGUUCGGUCCCUAUCUGCCGUGGGCGCUGGAGAACUGAGGGGGGCUGCUCCUAGUACGAGAGGACCGGAGUGGACGCAUCACUGGUGUUCGGGUUGUCAUGCCAAUGGCACUGCCCGGUAGCUAAAUGCGGAAGAGAUAAGUGCUGAAAGCAUCUAAGCACGAAACUUGCCCCGAGAUGAGUUCUCCCUGAGACUUAAAGUCUCCUGAAGGAACGUUGAAGACGACGACGUUGAUAGGCCGGGUGUGUAAGCGCAGCGAUGCGUUGAGCUAACCGGUACUAAUGAACCGUGAGGCUUAACCUU
rnacentral:rRNA from 1 species